CAGUCGCCGCGGUAAUACGUAGGGUGCGAGCGUUAAUCGGAAUUACUGGGCGUAAAGCGUGCGCAGGCGGUUCGUUAAGACAGAUGUGAAAUCCCCGGGCUUAACCUGGGAACUGCAUUUGUGACUGGCGAGCUAGAGUAUGGCAGAGGGGGGUAGAAUUCCACGUGUAGCAGUGGAACGCGUAGAGAUGUGGAGGAAUACCGAUGGCGAAGGCAGCCCCCUGGGCCAAUACUGACGCUCAUGCACGAAAGCGUGGGGAGCAAACAGGAUUAGAUACCCCUGUAGUCCCUGUCUCUUAUAC
rnacentral:rRNA from 1 species